AGAGUUUGAUCCUGGCUCAGGACGAACCCUGGCGGCACGCUUAACACAUGCAAGUCGAACGAGAGAAGAGGAGCUUGCUUUUCUGAUCUAGUGGCGGACGGGUGAGUAACACGUGAGCAAUCUGCCUUUCAGAGGGGGAUACCGAUUGGAAACGAUCGUUAAUACCGCAUAACAUAAUUGAACCGCAUGAUUUGAUUAUCAAAGAUUUAUCGCUGAAAGAUGAGCUCGCGUCUGAUUAGCUAGUUGGUAAGGUAACGGCUUACCAAGGCGACGAUCAGUAGCCGGACUGAGAGGUUGAUCGGCCACAUUGGGACUGAGACACGGCCCAGACUCCUACGGGAGGCAGCAGUGGGGAAUAUUGCACAAUGGAGGAAACUCUGAUGCAGCGAUGCCGCGUGAGGGAAGAAGGUUUUAGGAUUGUAAACCUCUGUCUUCAGGGACGAAAAAAGACGGUACCUGAGGAGGAAGCUCCGGCUAACUACGUGCCAGCAGCCGCGGUAAUACGUAGGGAGCGAGCGUUGUCCGGAAUUACUGGGUGUAAAGGGAGCGUAGGCGGGAUCGCAAGUCAGAUGUGAAAACUAUGGGCUUAACCCAUAAACUGCAUUUGAAACUGUGGUUCUUGAGUGAAGUAGAGGUAAGCGGAAUUCCUAGUGUAGCGGUGAAAUGCGUAGAUAUUAGGAGGAACAUCAGUGGCGAAGGCGGCUUACUGGGCUUUAACUGACGCUGAGGCUCGAAAGCGUGGGGAGCAAACAGGAUUAGAUACCCUGGUAGUCCACGCCGUAAACGAUGAUUACUAGGUGUGGGGGGACUGACCCCUUCCGUGCCGCAGCAAACGCAAUAAGUAAUCCACCUGGGGAGUACGACCGCAAGGUUGAAACUCAAAGGAAUUGACGGGGGCCCGCACAAGCAGUGGAGUAUGUGGAUUAAUUCGAAGCAACGCGAAGAACCUUACCAGGUCUUGACAUCGUAUGCAUAGCUCAGAGAUGAGUGAAAUCUCUUCGGAGACAUAUAGACAGGUGGUGCAUGGUUGUCGUCAGCUCGUGUCGUGAGAUGUUGGGUUAAGUCCCGCAACGAGCGCAACCCUUACUGUUAGUUGCUACGCAAGAGCACUCUAGCAGGACUGCCGUUGACAAAACGGGGGAAGGUGGGGAUGACGUCAAAUCAUCAUGCCCCUUAUGACCUGGGCCUCACACGUACUACAAUGGCUGUCAACAGAGGGAAGCAAAGCCGCGAGGUGGAGCGAACCCCUAAAAGCAGUCUUAGUUCGGAUUGUAGGCUGCAACCCGCCUACAUGAAGUCGGAAUUGCUAGUAAUCGCAGAUCAGCAUGCUGCGGUGAAUACGU
rnacentral:rRNA from 1 species